rnacentral:rRNA from 1 species
GUACACUCCUACGGGAGGCAGCAGUGGGGAAUUUUGGACAAUGGGCGAAAGCCUGAUCCAGCAAUGCCGCGUGAGUGAAGAAGGCCUUCGGGUUGUAAAGCUCUUUUGUCAGGGAAGAAACGGUGAAAGCUAAUAUCUUUUGCUAAUGACGGUACCUGAAGAAUAAGCACCGGCUAACUACGUGCCAGCAGCCGCGGUAAUACGUAGGGUGCAAGCGUUAAUCGGAAUUACUGGGCGUAAAGCGUGCGCAGGCGGUUUUGUAAGUCUGAUGUGAAAUCCCCGGGCUCAACCUGGGAAUUGCAUUGGAGACUGCAAGGCUAGAAUCUGGCAGAGGGGGGUAGAAUUCCACGUGUAGCAGUGAAAUGCGUAGAUAUGUGGAGGAACACCGAUGGCGAAGGCAGCCCCCUGGGUCAAGAUUGACGCUCAUGCACGAAAGCGUGGGGAGCAAACAGGAUUAGAUACCCGAGUAGUCC